CCCAGGGCCUUUGCACUUACCCUCAGCCUCAGUGCUCCUUCCCCAGAGAGCUGCAUGGCUUUCUCCCACGGUCCUUUUGGUCUCCAGGUCUCUCAGUAAAACU